rnacentral:rRNA from 1 species
AAUAGAUACCCAGGUAGUCCACGCCGUAAACCGACUGGAUACUAGCUGUUAGGUGGCAACAGUCAGUGGCUAAGCGAAAGUGAUAAGUAUCCCACCUGGGGAGUACGAACGCAAGUUUGAAACUCAAAGGAAUUGACGGGGGCCCGCACAAGCGGUGGAGCAUGUGGUUUAAUUCGAUGAUACGCGAGGAACCUUACCAAGGCUUAAAUGUAGAUUGACCGAUUUGGAAACAGAUCUUUCGCAAGACAAUUUACAAGGUGCUGCAUGGUUGUCGUCAGCUCGUGCCGUGAGGUGUCAGGUUAAGUCCUAUAACGAGCGCAACCCCUGUUGUUAGUUGCCAGCGAGUCAAGUCGGGAACUCUAACAAGACUGCCAGUGUAAACUGUGAGGAAGGUGGGGAUGACGUCAAAUCAUCACGGCCCUUACGCCUUGGGCUACACACGUGCUACAAUGGCCGGUACAGAGAGCAGCCACUGGGUGACCAGGAGCGAAUCUAUAAAGCCGGUCACAGUUCGGAUCGGAGUCUGCUAACG